rnacentral:rRNA from 1 species
CCUACGGGAGGCAGCAGUGGGGAAUAUUGCACAAUGGGGGAAACCCUGAUGCAGCGACGCCGCGUGAAGGAAGAAGUAUUUCGGGUUGUAAAGCUCUAUCAGCAGGGAAGAUAAUGACGGUACCUGUCUCAGAUGCUCCGGCUAACAACGUGCAAGCAGCGGCGGUAAUAUGCAGGGGGCAAGCGUUAUCCGGAUUUACUGGGUGUAAAGGGGGCGUAGGUGGCUGGGUAAGUCAGCUGUGAAAGCCUGGGGCCCAACCCUGGAACUGCAUUUGAAACUGUCCGGCUGGAGUGCAGGAGAGGUAGGCGGAAUUCGUGGUGUAGCGGUGAAAUGCGUAGAUAUUAGGAGGAACACCAGUGGCGAAGGCGGCUUACUGGACUGUAACUGACACUGAGGCACGAAAGCGUGGGGAGCAAACAGGAUUAGAUACCCCAGUAGUC